rnacentral:tRNA from 1 species
AGUCCUGGCAUAUUUUAACAUGCUUCUCCAGAUUUGCACUYUGACGUGAACCACCACAAGAC